rnacentral:rRNA from 1 species
UACGAAGGGGGCUAGCGUUGUUCGGAAUUACUGGGCGUAAAGCGCACGUAGGCGGAUUGUUAAGUGAGGGGUGAAAUCCCAGGGCUCAACCCUGGAACUGCCUUUCAUACUGGCAAUCUUGAGUUCGAGAGAGGUGAGUGGAAUUCCGAGUGUAGAGGUGAAAUUCGUAGAGAUUCGGAGGAACACCAGUGGCGAAGGCGGCUCACUGGCUCGAUACUGACGCUGAGGUGCGAAAGCGUGGGGAGCAAACAGG